rnacentral:rRNA from 1 species
GAUGAACGCUGGCGGCGUGCCUAAUACAUGCAAGUCGAGCGAACAGAUGAGGAGCUUGCUCCUCUGACGUUAGCGGCGGACGGGUGAGUAACACGUGGAUAACCUACCUAUAAGACUGGGAUAACUUCGGGAAACCGGAGCUAAUACCGGAUAAUAUAUUGAACCGCAUGGUUCAAUAGUGAAAGACGGUUUUGCUGUCACUUAUAGAUGGAUCCGCGCUGCAUUAGCUAGUUGGUAAGGUAACGGCUUACCAAGGCAACGAUGCGUAGCCGACCUGAGAGGGUGAUCGGCCACACUGGAACUGAGACACGGUCCAGACUCCUAAGGGAGGCAGCAGUAGGGAAUCUUCCGCAAUGGGCGAAAGCCUGACGGAGCAACGCCGCGUCAGUGAUGAAGGUCUUCGGAUCGUAAAACUCUGUUAUUAGGGGAGAACAAAUGUGUAAGUAACUAUGCACGUCUUGACGGUACCUAAUCAGAAAGCCACGGCUAACUACGUG